rfam:Ruminococcaceae bacterium D16 genomic scaffold acsPy-supercont2.5, whole genome shotgun sequence.
CACGGUCAAAUGGAGUAACCGGAAGGUGAAAGACGACCGAUGUAAAAGGAGAGAUACUUCCCAGGGGGAAACCCCUGAAACUGCCCUCUGACGGCCACGCACGGACGCUGCUUGCAUGGCGGGCGAUUGCGCUGACCCCGUUUCAUGUGCUGGGCCAAAGUAGUUUAGAGGCGCACCUACAACUUAACUAUGCGGAGGGCGAAUACUUUUUAUGACCAGU